UUCAGAUGGUACAGAUUAAAAGGACCAGUGGGGUCCCCAAUGUCCCUGACCACCUGUCAAAGCUGGCUCAGAGAGGCGGCCAAGCUGCAGAAGCAAGACGCAUCAACCCAGUUCCAUGGUUAAUUUCAGCCCAGCAAAAGCACUACAGGGGUGUGUGGCCUGACUCGUGCCCCAAGGGCCAAACAAAGGGGCCUCAUUAGGCCCCUGGGCCUGAGAUCCCCCCACUCCUGGAUUGCAGCAACCAUGGACGCAUAAGCUAGCUGGAAUAGGAUGGUGUGCAAUGAACAUUUUCCAUGGGCCUGGACGACAGCAAGUUUAUUCGAAGAAAGGGGGAAAUGAAGAGAACUAGGAAAUAUAAUAUGCUAUCAAAACACAAGGCAGCACUGGAAGUGGGUGAAGCGGGCAGGAGCUGGUGAUGAGGACAUUGAAUGGAGAGCAAAUGUUUUGUGUUGAGAGGCAUCACAUCAAAUUAUCCUGAAACUGAGGAACAUGAUGCACAAACUGGGUAACAAUUGAUAUGAAUCAACCACCACACUCAGCAAACAAUAUAUAUUGAUAACUCCCCCACCCCACCAGCAAGAUGUAUGUUUUUUAUUAUGUUUUUAUUAUUAAAAAGUAAAUGAAUUGCAUUGGGUCCCUGCAUUGGGGCUGUAAUAUGUCUUAAUGGCAUUAUUUUAGAGAAACAGGGUUUCUCCUUUGGCUACAAAGGAAUCUGAUGAAGGCAUCAGCUUUUCAGGUUCAAGCAUCAGACAGGUGUUGCCUCAUGCUGUGUCUCAACAAAGAUACAGGCUAGAACAUUUCCUAAACUAGAGGUUGGGGGCCUCCUUCAGCCUGAGGACCAUGUUUUUCCUUGGACGACCCUCUUGAGGGACACAGGCCAGCAGUGGCAAUGGGCACUGUAGUUGGGGCCAUUCUAUACUCUUCCAGGCACACUGCAGCAACAUACAGGACAGACAUGCAUGUACAGAGAGGGGUGUGUGUGUGUGUGUGUGUGUGUGUGUAGAAACUAGCUCACUAUACAAAGGUUCACAUAGCUUUCUCUGCCCACUUUUGCCUCUGAUUCCACCCACCAUUGGCACGUGGCCCCCAGAAGAUUGCCCCAAAAGGAAUGUGGCCCUGAUGCUGAAAAACAUUCCCCCUAUACUAAGCAGUAAAGCAAGGAUGGAGAAUACCUUGCCUCAAGUCCCAUCAGCAUGGUCAAGGAUGACUGGAGUUCCCCAUUCCUGGCCCAGGGUUUGCAAAAAUGUUGGUUCCUGCUUAUCAUCUUUAAUGAGAUAUAGUAGAAUGGCUCAGAGUAUGAGCUAUGAAGUUCAUAGGUUCAGCCUUCCCUCUGUAUUGUAAUUGCUGCAAGGCUUUAGACCGGAGAUGGAGAACCUGUGGUCCUUCAGAUGGUAUUGUACUCCAUCAGCUCCACGCAGCAUGGCAAACGGUCAGAGAUAGGAGCCAAAAACAUCUGAAAGGCCACACUCUCAUGGAAUGAAGAGUGAUAUUGAGGAUGGUCAAUGGCUUUCAUCACCAGGACUGACUAAUGAGGCUUCUUAGUCAGCCUUGGGCUUUGUCUGAGCAAUGACUCCAGAUCUUUCCUGGCACCAAAUCCAGCACCUCGUCUGGUUGCCUGACUUGGACUUGGCUCUCACAUUUUGGCACUGAUAGCUCAUCUCUGACAAUAUUUGUUUCAUCUCCUUUUAGAUGUCCACCAAAUCCUUAGCUUGCUUGCUUUACUUUUGCAAUGCAGAGAAAUCAAAGUACAGCAAACAGGCCCUUUCCCCCUUAACCACUCCAGCCUCUUUCACCCUCACAACAUUUCCCCCCUCUUUUUUUUUUGUGUGUGAUCAUUUAUUUUUUAGCUUGUUGCUGGAAUCACAGCUGAACUUCCUAUUGGCCCUGGGGGAAUGGACAGCAAUAAUUUUAAAUGGUUUGGUAGACACAGCUAUGGCACAAGGCCAAGACUAAUUUCAAGCCUUGUGGUGCUGUAUAAGAGGCAGGGAGGGGAGGGGAGGAAGACUAGAAACCCUAACCCAGAACCAGAAUUAUCCCUCAACAAUAGUGGGAAUCAGAAAGGCCUAUGUAUGUAUAUAGGUGGGGCAAAAAGCUUGAGGGAUGCACACAUUUAUGGUUCUAUGUUGUUGGAGGGAUGGCGGUGGGGUUAGAAAAUAAAUAAAUAGAAUAACUAGACUUUGGGAUAUCGGUUGGGUAGCUCUUUGAUGGGACUUGGAAUUUGCUGAAAUUGUAUAAAAGAAUUGUGCAAAAGGUUGUACCUUGCCUACUUUGCUUUCAAAAGGGUAGGCCUUGGUCAAUUGAAUAAAUCUG